AUAUGCAAAUGUAUCGCGUUCUCGAAUAUGUAGAUACUACUUUACCAAAAUCAAUGUGUUUACCUCGGCUAAAAUUUCUGUGGCUUGGUGGAUUUUCAAUCGCUAAUGUAGAACUAUCUAAAAGGCUCUUUUCAAGUUGUCCAGCUCUUGAAACGUUGGUCAUAGCUAAUUCUGAUAUACAAACUGAUGAUCAAAGGAAUUUGAUUGUGGAUUCUCUCAGCCUCAAGAAGUUCAACUAUUUUAAUCACUAUGUACAUCUUUUGCCGCAUAAUAAUACUAUGCCUACCACUAUCAAGUUACGUGCUCCAAAUAUUGGUAUCUAGAAAACUGUUCUCCAAUAUCCAGGGUAGAUUUUGACGUAAUUCUCAAAGCAAUGGAAGAUGAGAGUGCAGAAGCAUAUUUAAAACUGCCUUCAGAGGAAAAAGAUGUGUAUGCUAAAUGCAUGAUGAAAUAUCUAGGAGCAGUUUAUAUGGUGGAGAAAAUGAGAUUAUCAGCUGGAUUCCUUGAGGUUCUCUCACAAGCUCUUGACAUAUCAGAAUGUUAACCCCCUCGAUUAUGUAAUCUCCAAAGUUUGGGACUACAUAUGUGGUUUACAAGAGGUUGCUCGCGUUCAAUGGCAUACUUACUCAAUAUAUCUCCUAAAAUAAAUUCUAUAUUUCUUACAGCAAAGGAGGCGAACUUAGCGGUCAUUGGAGAUGAUUGGGAAGCAGGAUUGUCAUCGCCAGGAAUGUUGUCUCACCUCGAGUAUGUCAGUAUUGAAAAAGUGG